CUCAGUCGAUGGCCUAUAAAGUCACCAUUGGACCAUGCUCAUGACAUCGUCGAUUUCUCCAUUGUUCUCUUUCCAACUGCAGUUCGAGUUUCCAUUCAAACAGAAGGAAGGGUAUUUUUAGGGGUUAGAACAGUGCGUCCAUUACCAAUUCUGGGGGAUUAUUUCAGUUCCUCUUGGCAUAAUGGCUCGGACGCAAUAUCAGUAAUGUGGCCAUCCUGAUUGAUGGUUAGCCUCAAUCCCAUUCAAUCGUGGAAACACCUCAGACAUUUUCACUUCAGGAGCUAACCUCUAAAAAUCCCUUUACUUCAUACUUGCAUUUUUUGUUAAUCAAUAUGAUCCAUUGCUUGAAAUUGCUAAUAGAUUCUGAGUUUUUUUUUUUUUAUUUUUAUGUAUUUUCCAUUUUCGACUGAAUGAUUGCUAGACGAAGCAUGGCAGAGAUCGAUAAUUCAUGUAAGAUUCAGGUCAAGGAUCGUGUCCUCGUUGCAGACUCUUUGCUAUGGCUUUCCUGGUGUCACUCUCGCUGGAUCGUGGCAUACUAAAAUUUAAUGCUCAAGUUUUUGUAAUAAUUUGUAAUUUAUAAUUUUUAUUUAAUUCCUCCAUUGUAAGGAUUAUUGUUAUUAUCUAAUAAAAUUUAUUAUUUCUUUUAAUUUUUCAA